AUGAACGCUAGCUACAGGCUUAACACAUGCAAGUCGAGGGGCAGCAUGGACUCAGCUUCGCUGGGUUUGAUGGCGACCGGCGUACGGGUGAGUAACGCGUAUCCAACCUGCCCUUUACUCCGGGAUAGUCUCCUGAAAGGGAGUUUAAUACCGGAUGUGUUUGUCUUUCCGCAUGGGAGCGACAAAUAAAGAUUAAUUGGUAAAGGAUGGGGAUGCGUCCCAUUAGCUGGUUGGCGGGGUAACGGCCCACCAAGGCGACGAUGGGUAGGGGUUCUGAGAGGAAGGUCCCCCACAUUGGAACUGAGACACGGUCCAAACUCCUACGGGAGGCAGCAGUGAGGAAUAUUGGUCAAUGGGCGUAAGCCUGAACCAGCCAAGUAGCGUGAAGGACGACGGCCCUACGGGUUGUAAACUUCUUUUAUAAGGGAAUAAAGUGCGUUACGUGUAAUGUUUUGUAUGUACCUUAUGAAUAAGCAUCGGCUAAUUCCGUGCCAGCAGCCGCGGUAAUACGGAAGAUGCGAGCGUUAUCCGGAUUUAUUGGGUUUAAAGGGAGCGUAGGCGGGCUUUUAAGUCAGCGGUCAAAUGUCGUGGCUCAACCAUGUCAAGCCGUUGAAACUGUAAGCCUUGAGUCUGCACAGGGCACAUGGAAUUCGUGGUGUAGCGGUGAAAUGCUUAGAUAUCACGAAGAACUCCGAUCGCGAAGGCAUUGUGCCGGGGCAGCACUGACGCUGAGGCUCGAAAGUGCGGGUAUCAAACAGGAUUAGAUACCCUGGUAGUCCACGCCGUAAACGAUGAGUGCUAGGUGUUGGAUCCUUUCCGGGAUUCAGUGCCGCAGCUAACGCAUUAAGCACUCCGCCUGGGGAGUACGACCGCAAGGUUGAAACUCAAAGGAAUUGACGGGGGCCCGCACAAGCAGUGGAGUAUGUGGUUUAAUUCGACGCAACGCGAAGAACCUUACCAGGGCUUGACAUAUACAGGAAUAUAUAAGAGAUUAUAUAGCUCUUCGGAGACUGUAUACAGGUGGUGCAUGGUUGUCGUCAGCUCGUGUCGUGAGAUGUUGGGUUAAGUCCCGCAACGAGCGCAACCCCUGUUUUCAGUUACCAGCACGUAAAGGUGGGGACUCUGGAAAGACUGCCGGUGAUAAAUCGGAGGAAGGUGGGGACGACGUCAAAUCAUCAUGCCCCUUAUGACCUGGGCUACACACGUGCUACAAUGGCGCAUACAGCGGGUCGCUACCUGGUAACAGGAUGCCAACCUCUAAAAGUGCGUCUCAGUUCGGAUUGGGGUCUGCAACUCGACCCCAUGAAGCUGGAAUCGCUAGUAAUCGCGCAUCAGCCAUGGCGCGGUGAAUACGUUCCCGGGCCUUGUACACACCGCCCGUCAAGCCAUGGAAGUCGGGUAGACCUGAAGGCGGUAACCGCGAGGAGCCGUUUAGGGUAGAACCGGUAACUGGGGCU
rnacentral:rRNA from 1 species